AUGCUGAAAAGUUAUUUUGUGCCUGAUUCUGAUAAAGAUUUUUGGGUAAAGGCUGAAGUUUUUGAUGAGUACUUUGCAAUGAAUGAAGAAAGAAAUGCUACAGAAAAUGACAGGAGCCUGAAGAGCAAGACGAGAACAAAAAUGGGUAUGAAGGAAUUCAAAUGUACUGAAAUAAGGCCAGUAGUCAAUGGAGUCAACAUCACACUCACUCAGGAUAACAUUGCUCAAGUGAUAUGGAUUAAUAAUUCUGGGAUUGUCAAACCCAACUCAAACAAUGGGACAUAG